rnacentral:rRNA from 1 species
CUGGAGUGCGGGGUGCUUACACAUGCAGUCGAACGAUGAUCAGGAGCUUGCUCCUGUGAUUAGUGGCGAACGGGUGAGUAACACGUGAGUAACCUGCCCCUGACUCUGGGAUAAGCGUUGGAAACGACGUCUAAUACUGGAUACGACUGCCGGCCGCAUGGUCUGGUGGUGGAAAGAUUUUUUGGUUGGGGAUGGACUCGCGGCCUAUCAGCUUGUUGGUGAGGUAAUGGCUCACCAAGGCGACGACGGGUAGCCGGCCUGAGAGGGUGACCGGCCACACUGGGACUGAGACACGGCCCAGACUCCUACGGGAGGCAGCAGUGGGGAAUAUUGCACAAUGGGCGAAAGCCUGAUGCAGCAACGCCGCGUGAGGGAUGACGGCCUUCGGGUUGUAAACCUCUUUUAGUAGGGAAGAAGCGAAAGUGACGGUACCUGCAGAAAAAGCACCGGCUAACUACGUGCCAGCAGCCGCGGUAAUACGUAGGGUGCAAGCGUUGUCCGGAAUUAUUGGGCGUAAAGAGCUCGUAGGCGGUUUGUCGCGUCUGCUGUGAAAUCCCGAGGCUCAACCUCGGGCUUGCAGUGGGUACGGGCAGACUAGAGUGCGGUAGGGGAGAUUGGAAUUCCUGGUGUAGCGGUGGAAUGCGCAGAUAUCAGGAGGAACACCGAUGGCGAAGGCAGAUCUCUGGGCCGUAACUGACGCUGAGGAGCGAAAGCGUGGGGAGCGAACAGGAUUAGAUACCCUGGUAGUCCACGCCGUAAACGUUGGGCGCUAGAUGUAGGGACCUUUCCACGGUUUCUGUGUCGUAGCUAACGCAUUAAGCGCCCCGCCUGGGGAGUACGGGCCGCAAGGCUAAAACUCAAAGGAAUUGACGGGGGCCCGCACAAGCGGCGGAGCAUGCGGAUUAAUUCGAUGCAACGCGAAGAAACCUUA